rnacentral:lncRNA from 1 species
GCAGGAGGUGGAGGGGGGAUGUGAGCUGUGGGGACCAAGAUAUGCUGUCCCAAAGUGCGCCAUUUUGGCAUGCUGAUUAUUUUAAAUAAAAGGUACUUAAGAUACAUUUAGCUUGAGAACAGUUAGACCCUUCUAGUCCCCUGAAAGCAAGAAAUAAAUCUCCCAUGUAAAAGGUACUUCCUCUGUACCAGGAGGUGAAUCACCAGAGAUGGGAAAUUUAGAGCUGUUAUUAACAUCCAACCCUUCUUACUUUUUACUAAUUUACUGCCACAGCCCAGAUUCUAUUUAGAAUUCCUUCUUAAUUCAAACUCCUAAAGUAAGGGUUUGUUUAUUUGUUUGUUUGUUUGUUUUGUCCUGUCAAUUCCUCACAGAUUUAUUGUCUCUUUGUCAAAAAAGUAUAAAAACUGCCUGCCUUGGUCAUUUCUUUAGGUCUCAAUUUCAUAAUUGGGCCUCUGUAUGCCCAUAAUGAAACUUUGGUUUUUUUUUUCUUCCUCUUCAUCUAUCUCAUGUAAAUUUAAUUCUUAGUCCAGCUCGAAGACCUGGAGGAUAGAGAAGAAUUUUUUCCUUCCUUUCAGAGGCCAGCGGUGCCUGGUGCCACAGUGGGCCUUUCUAUUCGUUCAAAUGUGACACCAGAGGAAGGCUGGGACAUCUAUCCGCUCUGCAAUGUUGACAUGCUUCACGUGUGGACUUCAUCCCCUGAUAUAUGCCUGUCAAUUUCCUACCAACUAAUGGUCAUAUAUAGAGGCUUUGUCAGAUUCAGGAGGCAUAUAAAGUCUGGCCUCACUAUUUGUGGUGUCAUCGGCUACUGAAAAAUUGUUGCCCGACUCCUGGAUGAGGAUACGGAAGCAUGCAGAGUUUAAUUUGGCCAAGUGCUCAAGACAUAGAGGAAGUCUCCAGGAAACUAUGCCACUGAGCUCUACACUACAGACCAGUAUUGAAAACUCGUUAUGAAUUCUGAGUGUAAUUCAAAUAUAU